UCGAAAGAUGGGCUGAUAAUUCAAAUCAUCUUAGUGGAGGGAUAAAGGAUGAAACACUUUUAAGGUAUCUUGAUGAAUUAUGAGUAGUCAAGAUAACCUAGUGAUGCCGCGACAUUAAAUCAGGCGCUGCUUGGGAGGCAACCCAAGGUAUUUUGUUGUUUAUAUUCGUAUUAUGUGAUUGACAUCAGAUCUUCGAACCCAUGGUACCACAGGUAUGUUUCUAACUCUCUUGUUUUGGUUUGAUGCAUUGGGGACAUUGCAUGGAUUUAAGUUGAGGGUGAGGCUACUUGUGGGUGUUGAUGUCCUCUUGGGGUUUUUGUUGCCGUGCCUAUUUUCCCUAGAGUCUUGUUCCUAGUAGAGCCGGAAUGUUUAGGCAUAUUGUGUUUUAUUUUGUGAUGUGUUCUGGUUAACUGGGAGAAAAAUAAGUAUCUACGGCAGUUGACAUAUUUUUGUUGAUUUAUUUUAGGAAUGAUAAAUACCUCUUCAAUUUUCUACUUUGUAACUGUGUGAUAUGCAUUUAUGUGUGACCACUGUGCAUCUUGUUAUGGCAUUAGUACUAGUGACAUGAUAACCAUUGCUAAACAAUUACAUGAAUCGAAUGGGUAGUAGCUUGUGACCAGAACUUGCCCGGUUGGUCUUGCCUUAGUUGUAGGAUAACGGUUAGUAAAGGAUCAUAGGCCAUUGUUGAUAUUAGUCCACUUUUAGCCUAAAUGACCUUCCAUGUGUGAAUAAUAUUCCUUUAUCCUGAUUUUAAGCCUGAAUGCCUAUUCUUUUUAUUAUACCUAUCACCUUCCCAUUUGUAUCACAAUGAACCUGUUUGGGCCCUGGUCCUCCUUGGACAUUGUGCACUUUGACAUAGACAAAUAGCCUAAGUUAAGGGUGGCUACCAUAGGGGUGCGUGAUGUAAAAUGAGUAUGAAGAAAAGUAGAAUAAAAGAAAAGAAUAAAAAGUUGGGUGUGGUGGAAAAAGAAUAAGAAAAAAAGUGGUGAAAAAGAAGAAAUGAUUGUCAAAAAGACCGCACCCAUCCGGAGUAUAUGUGAUCAAGAAAGGAGAGAAUUAGGCAAAGGUAAAUAAGUGAGACCCUAAAAGUGAGUAGUUCCAAGGUGGCUUAGUUACCUUAAAUAUCAUCGAGUAUCACACCAGCCCUUAGCCUACGUUACAAACCGAAGAAAAAGACCUAUAGUGAUCUUAGCUUACCUGUCUGAAAACCUUGGUAAUGAAAAUAAGGGCAAGCUUAUGGUAUUCGGCAUACAUAGACUGGAAUUUCUUUCUGAGAGUGAGUGUCUCUUGACUAUCCCCGCAUUGACAUACUUGAGUUCACAUAUGAGUGAGGAGGGAAUUCUUUGUUGUAAGGGCAUACUAGUUAUGUUGCUUGUUUCUAACUUAUUUGGAUAGUAUAAUAUUGGUACAUGCAUGGUUGUUGUUGCUGAAUUGAUGCCAUAUUUUGAUUCCUGUGUGUCGCAUGGUUGUCCUUCAAUAAUAUGCACAGUUGUUUUUUUUAAAUUAAUUGACCUUGGAGAUGGUGAAGAUGUUUUGAGAUAAUAUAGAUGGUUGACUACCGAAUGUACUUUGUAUCCUCUUGUUUGUGUUUUAGUUACUUGAGGACAAACAAUUGUUUUAAGUUGAGGGUGUUGAUGCGUGAGCAAAUGCUAACAUAUUUGAGGCUUUUAACUGAGAAUAAUUGCAAAGUCUUAAGCAACUUUUGUCGUUUUUGAUUGUUUUCUCUUGAUAUUGCAGUAAAAGUUAAGAUGCAACAGAACCAGCAAUAAUGUAAGUAAAAGAGUUGAUUUCUGAGCAAGUAGAG
rnacentral:lncRNA from 1 species